rnacentral:lncRNA from 1 species
ACACAAAGGCAGCUUUGUGAGGCGGCGACGGCUCCGCGGCCGCCCCAGGACAGAGCGGCCUGGGCAGAGGGCGGGCCGGGGUCGGCGCCGCGGAGGCGGGGAGGGAGGGAGGGUUGGAGGGUUGAGCCAGAGACCCGGGACCCCGUCCCCGCACACCUGCCAGUGCCCCGUAGCUUCGGCCGCCGGCACUGGCAGGAGAUGAAAGGCUGCUGCCGCCCGGUCGGAAGGACAUCGGCGCCCCCCAGGCCCGGUCCCCGCCCCAGUUCCUCGGGCCUUUCCUGCUGCCCCUGCCUGCGAGGGCCGACGACACGGAGAACAGGAUCCUGCGCCCAACCCAGGAGCAGUUGGGUGAGGAGCACCAGAAAUUCAAUGCUCCCUGGCGCUGCAUCCCCAGAGCCCUCCCAGCCUAAGAAGCCCCAUCUUUCUGUCUCCACGCAUGGAGAACUGCAGCUGUGAGGCCCAGGACCCUUAGCAGGACAUGCAGAGCUGGGCAGGGACCCAGGCUCAUGCUCCCAGCGUGGGGUGAGUUGUCUCCAGCCUGUGGAGACUGCCAUGAAGUUGAUCUGCCUCCCAGAGGGCCUGGCCCACUUGAAAUAAUUGCUCCGGCUACUGA